AAAGUUCUGGGACACUCAGACU
rnacentral:miRNA from 1 species